rnacentral:rRNA from 1 species
AAAUGUUUUUCUUGACCACCUGUGCACCUUUUGUAGACUCUGAAAACAGCUGUUAUCGAGGCAACUCGGUGUUUGAGGACUGCGACGCGAAAGCUCGCUUUCCUUUAGAUGUUUUCUGGUCUAUGUAUUCUUUAUUAUACACAUACCCUUAACAGUAACAGAAUAUAUAUAUUGGCCUUUGUGCCUCUAACUAAAAUACAACUUUCAACAACGGAUCUCUUGGCUCUCGCAUCGAUGAAGAACGCAGCGAAAUGCGAUAAGUAAUGUGAAUUGCAGAAUUCAGUGAAUCAUCGAAUCUUUGAACGCACCUUGCGCUCCUUGGUAUUCCGAGGAGCAUGCCUGUUUGAGUGUCAUUAAAUAAAAUCAAACCUUUCAUCUGUUUAGAUGAAUGUUUUGGAUUGUGGAGGCUUUGCAGGCUUUUUAAAAGUCGGCUCCUCUUAAAAACAUUAGCAGAAGUCCUUUGGUUAAUUCUGGUGUGAUAAUUAUCUACGCUACGAUUAAUCAUUCUAAGAGGCUUUGCUUCUAACCGUCCUUUCAAAAGGACAACUUUUGAACAAUUUGACCUCAAAUCAGGUAGGACUACCCGCU